rnacentral:rRNA from 1 species
UGGGGAAUAUUGGACAAUGGGGGAAACCCUGAUCCAGCAAUGCCGCGUGUGUGAAGAAGGCCUGCGGGUUGUAAAGCACUUUCAGUAGAGAAGAACUGCCUGGAGCUAACAUCUCCGGGUUUUGACGUAACCUACAGAAGAAGCACCGGCUAACUCCGUGCCAGCAGCCGCGGUAAUACGGAGGGUGCGAGCGUUAAUCGGAAUUACUGGGCGUAAAGCGCGCGUAGGCGGUUUGGUCAGUCGAUUGUGAAAGCCCUGGGCUUAACCUGGGAACUGCAGUCGAUACUGCCUGACUAGAAUGUGGGAGAGGGAAGUGGAAUUUCCGGUGUAGCGGUGAAAUGCGUAGAUAUCGGAAGGAACACCAGUGGCGAAGGCGGCUUCCUGGCCCAACAUUGACGCU